GACGAACGCUGGCGGCGUGCUUAACACAUGCAAGUCGAACGGUAAGGCCCUUCGGGGUACACGAGUGGCGAACGGGUGAGUAACACGUGGGUGAUCUGCCCUGCACUUCGGGAUAAGCCUGGGAAACUGGGUCUAAUACCGGAUAGGACCACUGCCUGCAUGGGUGGUGGUGGAAAGCUUUUGCGGUGUGGGAUGGGCCCGCGGCCUAUCAGCUUGUUGGUGGGGUGAUGGCCUACCAAGGCGACGACGGGUAGCCGGCCUGAGAGGGUGACCGGCCACACUGGGACUGAGAUACGGCCCAGACUCCUACGGGAGGCAGCAGUGGGGAGUAUUGCACAAUGGGCGCAAGCCUGAUGCAGCGACGCCGCGUGAGGGAUGACGGCCUUCGGGUUGUAAACCUCUUUCAGCACCGACGAGGCGCAAGUGACGGUAGGUGCAGAAGAAGGACCGGCCAACUACGUGCCAGCCGCCGCUGUAAAAC
rnacentral:rRNA from 1 species